GAUGAACGCUGGCGGCGUGCCUAAUACAUGCAAGUCGAGCGCACAGACGAGGAGCUUGCUCCUCUGACGUUAGCGGCGGGCGGGUGAGUAACACGUGGAUAACCUACCUAUAAGACUGGGAACACUUCGGGAAAGCGGAGAUAAUACCGGAUAAUAUAUUGAACGGCAGGGUUCAAUAGUGAAAGGCGGUUUUGCUGUCACUUAUAGAUGGAUCCGUGCCGCAUCAGCUAGUUGGGAAGGUAACGGGCUAACAAGGCGUCGACGCGUAGCCGGCCUGAGAGGGCGACCUGGCACAGUGGGACGGAGCAACGGCGCAGAAUCGUACGGGAGGCGGCAGUGUGGACUAUUGCAGAAAGGGUGAAAGACUGAUGCAGCGUCGCGGCGUGAGGGAUGGAGGCGUUAGGGUUGUGAAACUCUUUCGCUCAAGGUCAAGCCGCAACAAUGGUUGUGGUGAGGGUAGUGAGUAAAGAAGCGCCGGCUAACUACGUG
rnacentral:rRNA from 1 species